CGGACUGGGGAUCAAACCCAAAACCCAGUAUGCGCUCUGACUGGGAAUGGAACCCGCAACCUUGUGGUGUAUGGGACUAUGUACAAGGAACCCUGGUUUCUUUGAGUGGGAAACGGUAUUUCAAAUCCACACGUAGGGGCUGAAAACUCCAUCACCUCUUGAACGUCCACCUCCACUCUGACCUCUCGUUGUGGCCAUCAGAGAUGCUGCCUGCAGCCCUCCUGCCCGGCUCAGGCUGUGCUCGGCCCAGCCCCCUGUCCUGCCCAAACCCACUGUCCCUCCCCGUGUGCCCAGAGCUGCUGGGCGCUGACCUCAGGAGAGAACAGGGUCAAGCUCUUCUCCCCUCAGGAAACUCCGAGCUGACCUGCUCCCUCCAUCGCUGGGCAGCAUCGGGGAGGAGGGGUGGCUGCCCUUCUCCACCGCCCUCCCAGCCGGUGAGAUCGGGCAGGGCAGGCGCAGGUACAGGACGUCGAGUGGGUCCCUCCUGGAGUUGCUCCAUGGGUGUGUGGGGGCUGGCGAGGCAGGAAGCGGGGAGCUGAGUCUCGAUGAGACCUGGGCGAUGGGGCCAUGGAGGGCAUGCCUCAGGGUGGACGGGCCUCUGCCUCCCGGAGGUCAGGUCAGCGAGCAGGCCGGUCUCGCAGGAGGCUGGGGUGGGGAGGAGAAGAAUGAGCCCAGAGUUGGGGGAGGGGCGGUGCUCGGUGGGCUGCCCCUCUGGGUCCAAAGUGGCCAUCCUGAUGCCACCCCUGUGGAGCCUCCCAGUGCAGGGUGGGAGCAGCCGCCUUUGCCCCUGUCCCCGGGCCCCAGAGCCUCCUUGUACCCCUGUCAGACCCUAAACUGGCCCAGGUUGGGGGAGAGCAGUGGAGGCCAGGGCCCCAUAUUUCUGCCCACCCAGGGGACUGUCGGGCCUCUGUGGGGGUCCUGGGGCAUUGGGACAGUUACGGAGCCCACCGAGGGCGGGCUUGGCUCUCCCUCCAGCCUGUGCUGCAUCCAACCGCCUGACUCCUCUGCCCCCGCCCUCCACCCCUCCUCCAGCUCUUCCCGUGCAAUUAGGGCAGCAGCCCCCGUUUCCAUGGCCUGGGGGGCAGGUCGGCCAACACCCUUCAAUCGGUAACAUUCCUCUUUAAAGGAGCCAGUUUACUCUGAGAAAGUGGGUUGCAGGUAACAGAGAGUGUAGAUUUGUUUCCAGGCCUGUUGGGGCCGGAAGUUGGGAACCCCCACUGGUGUCGGAAACCGCCGCCCGUGCCCUGCGGGACAGAGCAGCGAAUCAGCGCCUUUGCUACUCUGGACGGAGGAGCUGUUGACGGUGCGAAGAUGAAUAAACAGAUGGAGUUGCAGGGCCCGUCCAGGAGCUCUCAGCCCCUGCUAGCUGGGCAAGAAGAUGGGCAACUACUCAGCCAAUGAAAGACUGCCCCAGCUCAGCCAAUGGAAAGCCAGGACACUUUCAACUCCAAGCUUCAUCCAAUAGAUUCUCUGUUUACAACAGCCCGGACAUCCCCCCUCCCCCCAUAGAAGAAUGUUCUCCUUUGGUCUACGCUAGACUCUGGGGACUUGCUGUGGUUUGGGGACUAUGAGCGGCCCUAGAGGAAGGGUGGUUGCUUCUAAAGGCGCAAACGGCCCACGAAAA